GACGAACGCUGGCGGCGUGCUUAACACAUGCAAGUCGAACGGACAGGCCCUGCUUUUGUGGGUUGCUCGAGUGGCGAACGGGUGAGUAAAACGUGAGUAACCUGCCCUUGACUUUGGGAUAACUCCAGGAAAAUGGGGCUAAUACCGGAUAGGAGCUCCUGCUGCAUGGUGGGGGUUGGAAAGUUUCGGCGGUUGGGGAUGGACUCGCGGCUUAUCAGCUUGUUGGGGGGGUAGUGGCUUACCAAGCCUUUGACGGGUAGCCGGCCUUAGCGGGUGACCGGCCACAUUGGGACUGAGAUACGGCCCAGACUCCUACGGGAGGCAGCAGUGGAGAAUAUUGCACAAUGGGCGGAAGCCUGAUGCAGCAACGCCGCGUGCGGGAUGACGGCCUUCGGGUUGUAAACCGCUUUCGCCUGUGACGAAGCGUGAGUGACGGUAAUGGGUAAAGAAGCACCGGCUAACUACGUG
rnacentral:rRNA from 1 species